GACGAACGCUGGCGGCGUGCUUAACACAUGCAAGUCAAACGGAAAGGCCCUGCUUUUGUGGGGUGCUCGAGUGGCGAACGGGUGAGUAACACGUGAGUAACCUGCCCUUGACUUUGGGAUAACUUUAGGAAACUGGGGCUAAUACCGGAUAGGAGCUCCUGCUGCAUGGUGGGGGUUGGAAAGUUUCGGCGGUUGGGGCUGGACUCGCGGCUUAUCAGCUUGUUUGUGGGGUAGUGGCUUACCAAGUCUUUGACUGGUAGCCGGCCUGAGAGGGUGACCGGCCACAUUGGGACUGCGGUACGGCGCAGAAUCCUACGGUAGGCAGUAGUGGAGAGUAUUGCAGAAUGAGCGGAAGCCUGAUACGGCGACGCCGGGUGCGGGAUGCCGGCCUUCUGGUUAUAAACCGCUUUCGCCUGUGACGAAGCGUGCGUGACGGUAAUGGGUAAAGAAGCACCGGCUAACUACGUG
rnacentral:rRNA from 1 species